rnacentral:rRNA from 1 species
AACGAACGCUGGCGGCAUGCCUAACACAUGCAAGUCGAACGAAACCUUCGGGUCUAGUGGCGCCCGGGUGCGUCACGCGUGGGAACCUUCCCUUAGGUUCGGAAUAACUCCCCGAAAGGGGUGCUAAUACCGGAUAAUGUCUUCGGCCCAAAGAUUUAUCGCCUUUGGAUGGGCCCGCGUUGGAUUAGCUAGUUGGUAGGGUAAAAGCCUACCAAGGCGACGAUCCAUAGCUGGUCUGAGAGGAUGAUCAGCCACACUGGGACUGAGACACGGCCCAGAUUCCUACGGGAGGCAGCAGUGGGGAAUAUUGGACAAUGGGCGAAAGCCUGAUCCAGCAAUGCCGCGUGAGUGAUGAAGGCCUUAGGGUUGUAAAGCUCUUUUACCCGGGAUGAUAAUGACAGUACCGGGAGAAUAAGCUCCGGCUAACUCCGUG